AGUCCAUGAUGGAGACAAAGACUCAGCAUAUCCUUGUAUCUCUCCCACACUUCAAAAAGAGAUUCAUUGUCUUUCUGCCUAAAUCUGUUGAUUUGGGCUCUUAGCAU